GAUGAACGCUGGCGGCGUGCCUAAUACAUGCAAGUCGAGCGAACAGACGAGGAGCUUGCUCCUCUGACGUUAGCGGCGGACGGGUGAGUAACACGUGGAUAACCUACCUAUAAGACUGGGAUAACUUCGGGAAACCGGAGCUAAUACCGGAUAAUAUAUUGAACCGCAUGGUUCAAUAGUGAAAGACGGUUUUGCUGUCACUUAUAGAUGGAUCCGCGCCGCAUUAGCUAGUUGGUAAGGUAACGGCUUACCAAGGCAACGAUGCGUAGCCGACCUGAGAGGGUGAUCGGCCACACUGGAACUGAGACACGGUCCAGACUCCUACGGGAGGCAGCAGAAGGGAAUCUUCCGCAAUGGGCGAAAGCCUGACGGAGCAACGCCGCGUGAGUGAUGAAGGUCUUCGGAUCGUAAAACUCUGUUAUUAGGGAAGAACAAAUGUGUAAGUAACUAUGCACGUCUUGACGGUACCUAAUCAGAAAGCCACCGCUAACUACGUG
rnacentral:rRNA from 1 species